GUAGGGGGCCAGCGUUGUCCGGAUUCAUUGGGCGUAAAGAGCGUGUAGGCGGUUCAAUAGGUCCGAUGUGAAAACUCGAGGCUCAACCUCGAGAGGUCGUCGGAAACCAUUGAGCUAGAGUCCGGAAGAGGAGAGUGGAAUUCCUGGUGUAGCGGUGAAAUGCGCAGAUAUCAGGAAGAACACCGAUGGCGAAGGCAGCUCUCUGGGACGGUACUGACGCUGAGACGCGAAAGCGUGGGGGAGCGAACAGGAUUAGAUACCCUGGUAGUCCACGCCGUAAACGAUGGGCACUAGGUGUGGGUGGUGUCGACUCCAUCCGUGCCGCGGCUAACGCAUUAAGUGCCCCCGCCUGGGAGUACGGCCGCAAGGCUA
rnacentral:rRNA from 1 species